AGUUAAACAGUACGUGAAAUUGUUGAAAGGGAAAUGAUUAAAGUCAGUCGUACCUACGAGUAAUCAACCUACUCGAGUGCGAUUUUGUGGGUAUAUUAGAGCUUAAAAACCUUCAUGCUUACAAAUUGGUACUCUUUGGGCGUACUUUCUCGUAUGGUAAGUUAACAUCAAUUUCGAUCGUUAUAAAAUGACUGGAGGAAUGUAGCUUCAAUCUCGGUUGAAGUGUUAUAGCCUUUGGUAGAUGUAAUGAUUGGAUUGAGAAUUGCAACGGAUACCCUCUGGGCUAUUCGUCUGAUCUCUGGAAGUUACCAUGUGUCGAAAGCGUGCUUACGAUAUUAAGGUUGACGGCCAAUAGGUUAGAACGUGAUUAAAUUCAUUAAGGAUGUUGACGUAAUGGCUUUAAA
rnacentral:misc_RNA from 1 species